UCGAGCGAACGGACGAGAAGCUUGCUUCUCUGAUGUUAGCGGCGGACGGGUGAGUAACACGUGGAUAACCUACCUAUAAGACUGGGAUAACUUCGGGAAACCGGAGCUAAUACCGGAUAAUAUUUUGAACCGCAUGGUUCAAAAGUGAAAGACGGUCUUGCUGUCACUUAUAGAUGGAUCCGCGCUGCAUUAGCUAGUUGGUAAGGUAACGGCUUACCAAGGCAACGAUGCAUAGCCGACCUGAGAGGGUGAUCGGCCACACUGGAACUGAGACACGGUCCAGACUCCUACGGGAGGCAGCAGUAGGGAAUCUUCCGCAAUGGGCGAAAGCCUGACGGAGCAACGCCGCGUGAGUGAUGAAGGUCUUCGGAUCGUAAAACUCUGUUAUUAGGGAAGAACAUAUGUGUAAGUAACUGUGCACAUCUUGACGGUACCUAAUCAGAAAGCCACGGCUAACUACGUGCCAGCAGCCGCGGUAAUACGUAGGUGGCAAGCGUUAUCCGGAAUUAUUGGGCGUAAAGCGCGCGUAGGCGGCUUUUUAAGUCUGAUGUGAAAGCCCACGGCUCAACCGUGGAGGGUCAUUGGAAACUGGAAAACUUGAGUGCAGAAGAGGAAAGUGGAAUUCCAUGUGUAGCGGUGAAAUGCGCAGAGAUAUGGAGGAACACCAGUGGCGAAGGCGACUUUCUGGUCUGUAACUGACGCUGAUGUGCGAAAGCGUGGGGAUCAAACAGGAUUAGAUACCCUGGUAGUCCACGCCGUA
rnacentral:rRNA from 1 species